GCGUUCUCAUACAAAACUAGACAGGUGGCUAACAACGGAGUCUUCAAACUCGCAAGCCGUGACUUUUCUGAAUGAAUAUAUUGAGUUUGUUGUGAAACUGCGAAAUGCAGAAAAUAAUAUAAUUUAAUAUUCAAUUCACAUCGACAUACUGUAGCUGUACAUUAUACAUUUCAUGCUGAAGUUACAUAAAUACAAAGCAUGGGCCAAGGUACCAUGCAUCUGGCAUGAUGCCAAAUCAGAUAGACAAUUAUGAGUAGCAACUAGCCAACUCCUUUCAUUUACUCGAAUGAUGUGCAAACACCUCCGUACAAUAACAAAGCAUAUUACACUAGAAACAGUAACAAAACUACAGUAUUGUAUGUUUUACAAUUCGUUUACAUGACGCACGAGCAAACUAAUACAGCUGACGGCAUACAUGCAAGGCAAUUUGCGUGAGUAAAUGCAACCAACUAGCAUUGAUAAAGUAAGCAAUUAUACCAAUAACAAUAUCAUCAGAAGCAAUAUGCUUGAUUCGAAUUUAAAAACAAAUAUUUUCCGAGGCUGAAGCGUGUCAAGAAAUGGCUGCACUGAAAUAACUGCACCCGUAGCGUUGUUUUUAGCCGAUUCUCUGCGUGCAGAAAUGGCUACUCUAAUCUACUUCCUGUUUCCGUGCAGUCUUUAUCCUCCCCAGAAUUAUUAUUUAACAAGCUAAAUUUAAGUCAGAUGUGUUCAUUCCUCCUCCUUGACUCCGCCUCUCGUUAGUCCCAAAAAUCGAAUUAUGUCUACAAAAUAAGGUUGAUUAGCGUACUAGGGCUACACUUCUCCUGUGGCAAAGUGAAGCUAGCAAGAAGAAAUCUUACCACCCUUCACGCAUCCAAUUUGUCAAUCUGUAAAAAGCCCCUGCAUGCUGCUCGUUGAGGUCAGUGUGUACGACUGGGACUCUGAGACCCAGGGCUAGAUCCUGGGCUCCUUCUUCUACGGCUACAUCCUGGCUCAGAUCCCAGGGGGCUACCUGGCAAGCAAGUAUGGGGCCAAAUGGCUGCUGGGCCUAGGAAUCCUGGGAACUGUAAUCUUCACCCUCCUCACCCCCAUGGCUGCCGACCUGGAUGCAGGUUACCUCAUCGUUGUCAGAGUGCUAGAGGGCAUCGGAGAGGUAUUGUGUG